rnacentral:misc_RNA from 1 species
GAUGAAGAACGUAGCGAAAUGCGAUACGUAAUGUAAAUUGCAGAAUUCAGUGAAUCAUCGAAUCUUUGAACGCAUAUUGCGCUCUCUGGUAUUCCGGAGAGCAUGCUUGUUUGAGUAUCAGUAAACACCUCAACUUCCAUAUCUUUUUUGAAAUGGGAGUUGGACUUGAGUGAUCCCAACGCUUUUCCUCACCGAAAAGUGGCGGGUUACUUGAAAUGCAGGUGCAGCUGGACUUUUCUCUGAGCUAUAAGCAUAUCUAUUUAGUCUGCCUAAAAACAGAUUAUUACCUUUGCUGCAGCUAACAUAAAGGAGAUUAGUUCUUGUGCUGACUGAUGCAGGAUUCACAAAGACAGGCUUCGGCCGACUUUGUAAACUCGAUCUCAAAUCAAGUAAGACUACCCGCUGAACUUAAGCAUAUCAAUAAGCGAGGA